rnacentral:rRNA from 1 species
AUUGAACGCUAGCGGGAUGCCUUACACAUGCAAGUCGAGCGAGCGGCGGACGGGUGAGGAAUGUCUGGGAAACUGCCAGAUGGAGGGGGAGAACUACUGGAAGCGGUAGCUAAGACCGCAUACAGUUAGAGGUGCCCAGAGGGGAUUAGCUAGUAGGUUGGGUAACGGCUCACCUAGGCGACGAUCCCUAGCUGGUCUGAGAGGAUGUGCAGCCACACUGUAACUGAGACACGGUCCAGACUCCUACGGGAGGCAGCAGUGGGGAAUAUUGCACAAUGGGCGCAAGCCUGAUGCAGCCAUGCCGCGUGUGUGAAGAAGGCCUUCGGGUUGUAAAGCACUUUCAGCGGGGAGGCGUUACCCGCAGAAGAAGCACCGGCUAACUCCGUGCCAGCAGCCGCGGUAAUAC